UCAUUAAAUAUUUUCAUCGUUCCACUCUACGAAGAAGUUGCAAUGCGCGAUUGCCGAUUUUGCAGAUGGAAGGGAAAUCGAGGGGGUCCGUCCUUCCGCGCCUAGCAUGCGGUGCCGUGCAAUUUCCGUUAAAAAUGUACGAUUCGUACGGAACGGAGGUCAGCGCACUGACGGCUUAUAGUUCUGUUAAAAAAUCAUAUGCGAUGAUCUAAAGAAAAUAGAGAAGUUUCGAGGAAAAGGAGAGUCGCCAAAAGAUUUGCGGAAAUCGGAAAUUGAUAUACAUAUAUUACUGAGAAUACGUAUUUUAUCUCGAAAGCUGACGAGAGGAAUACUGCCAAUGUUAAUUACAUCGCCAGCAACACCGAUAGAGAGAAACAUUUAAGAUAUUCCUGCGCGAAUAUAACAUGCAAGCAGUCUAUGUAAUCAAGAGAGUUAUGCAGUGAGUAAAUACAAAUCUAGGAAAUUUAAUAGGAAAUGUCAUGUGCAUGUUAGGAUUAUAAAUUAUUUGAUAUUAUCCUACAUUUGCAAUUUGAUGUAUGCAGAAACCUGUGAAUGGUUUAUUUUUAUCAGGGCAAUAUUUGCGACAACGCAAUAAAAUAUAAGUAAAUUAGCAACAUAUACACAGUGCGUAAGCGCAAUUAACGUGGUAAUUAAUUUUGAAUAAACAAUUUUCAUUGAUGCUAUCUAAUAUUAAUUUUACUCAUACAGUUACGAUUAAAACUCCUAGCAGGCAAGUCAUCAUUGAUGCGAGUUGCAGCAGCGCGAUGUAGGAGUAGAGAUUCUCGAUGUUCUCUGAGAAGUAAAUGAUUUUCUGAUACUUUUUUAUGAUAUUCCUCAUCAUCUCCUCAUCAUAGGAUCUAAAAAAAAGAGACCACCUUUAUGAAAAUGAAGAGCCAUAUUCAAUAUCUACUAUUUUGAAAUAUUAUGGAAGUUGAAGUAUCCAAUCAUUCGUUACGUUAUUUACGUCGCCGUUGCGU